rnacentral:lncRNA from 1 species
UAGCUGCUGGUGAGUCUGCACUGCUGAAGGUAAAUUUGGGGCUCUGAUUGUUGAAGGUAUUGCUGGAACAAGUGCAGAUCCAAUCCUCUGUAAGGUGAUGCUAGCCAGUAAAAUGCCUGAGCAGAGAGGUAAAAAUGAUGUUCGACUUCUCAUGAAUCUGAAGUGUGAAGCAAUGGGCAUAAAGAGACUAGAGAACCAGAAAUAGCAAGUGGAAGGAUGGAAUGAAGAACUGGACAACUGGAUGCUGAUGCUACAACACAUGUGGAAGCAGUGAAAUAAGAGGGAUCAGCAGAAGGAAGCCCUUCUUCUCA